GGAAAAUGCCGCUUGAAAAGACAGACCACCACCCCCUGCCGUCCACCGGCGCUGAGGGAGCUCCUGGUAACCUGUCUGCAGCAGAAAGAAUGAGAACCCUCUUGGUGGAGUGGCAGGAGCUGCUGGUUAAAACUGAGAGCAGAGCCCAGCCACCAGUCCCUCAUCGUGACUUAGACGGAUAAUUAGUCAGGCUUCAACCCUACUUUAUUCUUCAUCUUCCAUCACUUGAAACUUAUCCUACAAACUUUUUUUGUGUGGAGAUCACCAGGCAGCAGCAGCAGAAGCAUUGGGCCUGAGGGAAGCU